rnacentral:lncRNA from 1 species
AACCCGCAUCUAAUUUAAUUGCACUAUGGCGGUAUGAAAAUAAUUUUUUAAUAAGUUACAGGACACAGGAACACUCAGCACACUUCAGAGAACACAUUUGUCCACGCUCGACAUGCUUGUAUAUGUGACCUGCUGCGACUGACCUAUUUAACUCCGUGAACUGCAGAAUGACUGAACGAUAUUCUCCUCUAGAGGCGAACGCGUCACGUCUGACCUGCUGGGUUUGACCUACUUAACACUGUGAACUCUGGGGCGUCGGGAACUUCGACAUGCGCACACUCGCCGAACAAAAAAUCCAAACAAAGCGACUGACUCGUGCGGUCUUUGACGCGUUUCUGAUGUUCUCACAGCACAAGUGCCCUGCAGCUUCAUUACAGACUUCUCUAACACCAAACUGUUUUCGUUAUGCCAUCUGUCUCUCUGAAAAAGAAAAAGAAACCGAGAGCAAAAACGUGACAUGACAAAAGGACUCUGUCGCCAUCUUGUGAUGAUUUUGUGAAUGAUGGCCAAGUGUCUUCAACAGAGGAAUGGCCCCUGUUGGAGCUGUUAUCUGUGGCAUUAUUCUGCCAGAGCGAUGGGCUGGACUCCGGAGGGGACAGCUGAGUCAUUUGGCAAAGACCGCCGAGCCAAUUGGUCAGGGAAGUUAUGAGGACAACACUGGAUUUGUGAGCACCUUACAGCACCAUCUCCCCUCAGACAGCACAGCCAGCAGCUGUUUGGGAAAACUUCCACAAGGUUAUGGAUUUGAGUUCCAGGAAUUGCAUUGUAUAAGUCAGCAGAAAGCCCUAUAUACAGCAGUACUUCGAUUUUUGUUUCUGAU